rnacentral:rRNA from 1 species
UACGUAGGGUGCAAGCGUUGUCCGGAAUUAUUGGGCGUAAAGAGCUCGUAGGCGGUUUGUCGCGUCUGCUGUGAAAACUCGGGGCUUAACCCCCGGGCCUGCAGUGGGUACGGGCAGACUAGAGUGCGGUAGGGGAGACUGGAAUUCCUGGUGUAGCGGUGAAAUGCGCAGAUAUCAGGAGGAACACCGGUGGCGAAGGCAGCUCGCUGGGACGGUACUGACGCUGAGGCGCGAAAGCGUGGGGGAGCGAACAGG